GACAGAGGAUGCAAGCGUUAUCCGGAAUGAUUGGGCGUAAAGCGUCUGUAGGUGGCUUUUUAAGUCCGCUGUGAAAGUCCAGGGCUCAACCCUGGAAUGCCGGUGGAAACUGUCAAGCUUGAGUCCGGAAGAGGCGAGUGGAAUUCCUGGUGUAGCGGUGAAAUGCGCAGAUAUCAGGAAGAACACCCGUGGCGAAGGCGGCUCUCUGGGACGGUACUGACGCUGAGACGCGAAAGCGUGGGGAGCGAACAGG
rnacentral:rRNA from 1 species